rnacentral:rRNA from 1 species
AUGCCUUCCUCCCCAUCCCCCGUCGUCGUCCUCAGCGACGACGAAAGCGGCGACGACGGCGCCGCAUCCGGCGCGCUCUCGAGGUCCGCCGCCGACCGCAUCGCCUCCACCCUGACCACCCAGGCCGCGGUCGACGCCCUCUGCAAGAAUCGCGACGUGCCGCGGAAGUUCGCCGCGCGCCCCGCCGGCGCCCCGCCACCGCCUCAGCCUUCUCCCCGUUCAACUGUUGCCAAAGGGAUGGAUCCACCCGCCCGCGACAUGACUGACAGUAUGCCAGCGGAGAAGACGGCGGCGCCGGCGGCAAGGACGGGGCAGGUGAAAAGAGAGGCGCACGGCGACACGCUUCCAUUGUCCGGAAAGAAGAGGAGACGGGAGGAGGUGACUGCAACAGACGGGCAUGACGGCGCCGCCCCGGUGUCCAACCCGCGUGCCCCGCCGGGCUUUGACCCACGGUCACCGCACUCUGCCGUACCCGACACACUCGACUGGAAGGCCGUGCAGAAGAUUCUAGAGGGCCUGGUCACGCCGUCGCGGGAGUGCCACUUCGCGGCCUCGAAGCCCUCCGACCUCCUGGCGUCGAGCUACGUAGCAGUGCUCCAGGUACAUUUCCAAACAAAUCGUUCGUCCGUAGGUGCAUGUCUGGAUCAGCAUCACAUUGUUUGUUAUGCCAUUCGGCGGCAACAAUGGCGCGUGCAGGCCGCGAACUACGCGACCUUCUCCACGUCCUACGCGCUGGAGCUGGACGAAAAGGUUCUGGCGUGCGAGCGCGACAACCUGGCGCUGUGGGAGCAAGUGGAGAAGGAGAAGGCGGCGAGGCAGGCCGCGGAGGCGGAGCUCGAAAAGGUCAAAGCAGAGCUGGAGAGCGCCGAGGCGACGGCGGUGCAGCAGUUCCUGGGGUCCGAGGAGUACACGCGGCGGCUGGCCGAGCAUGCGCUGCCGGCGUACUUGCGCGGCGCUGAGGAAAUGAGGCGCGUCGUGCUCCGGCACUACCCGCACGUCGACGCCGGCAAGCUGGAGCUGCCGCUUGAUUAG